rnacentral:ncRNA from 2 species
AUUAAAUAAUGUUCUUUAACUCAUAUAUCCUUGAUAAUUGGAUCAGGGGUUUCUACGAAGCAACCGGAAUUGCUUCUCUAUGAGCCAGAGAUGGCCAUAG